rnacentral:rRNA from 1 species
UACGUAGGUGGCAAGCGUUGUCCGGAUUUACUGGGUGUAAAGGGCGUGUAGCCGGGUUGGCAAGUCAGAUGUGAAAUCCUGCGGCUUAACCGCAGAACUGCAUUUGAAACUGUUGAUCUUGAGUACCGGAGAGGCAGACGGAAUUCCUAGUGUAGCGGUGAAAUGCGUAGAUAUUAGGAGGAACACCAGUGGCGAAGGCGGUCUGCUGGACAGCAACUGACGGUGAGGCGCGAAAGCGUGGGGAGCAAACAGG